GACGAAAGUCUGACGGAGCAACGCCGCGUGAACGAUGAAGGCUUUCGGGUCGUAAAGUUCUGUUGUCAGGGAAGAACAAGUACUGGAGUAACUGCCGGUACCUUGACGGUACCUGACCAGAAAGCCACGGCUAACUACGUGCCAGCAGCCGCGGUAAUACGUAGGUGGCAAGCGUUGUCCGGAAUUAUUGGGCGUAAAGCGCGCGCAGGCGGUUCCUUAAGUCUGAUGUGAAAGCCCCCGGCUCAACCGGGGAGGGUCAUUGGAAACUGGGGAACUUGAGUGCAGAAGAGGAGAGCGGAAUUCCACGUGUAGCGGUGAAAUGCGUAGAGAUGUGGAGGAACACCAGUGGCGAAGGCGGCUCUCUGGUCUGUAACUGACGCUGAGGCGCGAAAGCGUGGGGAGCGAACAGGAUUAGAUACCCUGGUAGUCCACGCCGUAAACGAUGAGUGCUAAGUGUUAGAGGGUUUCCGCCCUUUAGUGCUGCAGCAAACGCAUUAAGCACUCCGCCUGGGGAGUAC
rnacentral:rRNA from 1 species